rnacentral:rRNA from 1 species
GAUGAACGCUGGCGGCGCGCCUAACACAUGCAAGUCGAACGGCACCCCUCCUCGGAGGGAAGCGAGUGGCGAACGGCUGAGUAACACGUGGAGAACCUGCCCCCUCCCCCGGGAUAGCCGCCCGAAAGGACGGGUAGUACCGGAUACCCCGGGGUGCCGCAUGGCACCCCGGCUAAAGCCCCGACGGGAGGGGAUGGCUCCGCGGCCCAUCAGGUAGACGGCGGGGUGACGGCCCACCGUGCCGACAACGGGUAGCCGGGUUGAGAGACCGACCGGCCAGAUUGGGACUGAGACACGGCCCAGACUCCUACGGGAGGCAGCAGUGGGGAAUCUUGCGCAAUGGGGGGAACCCUGACGCAGCGACGCCGCGUGCGGGACGGAGGCCUUCGGGUCGGAAACCGCUUUCAGCAGGGAAGAGUCAAGACUGUACCUGCAGAAGAAGCCCCGGCUAACUACGUG